UUCGAGCUACAAAAUAAUAUCGAUAUUUUUUUUCAAAGAUUAUUAAAGUGUGUGCGGAUCAAAUUAUUGUAGUGUGUCAACGAGGGAUAACCUGCAAAACUUCCUCAGACGCCAUUUUACAAGAACAAAAAAAUUUUAACUUCUAACGUCUUCUAUCUACUGCAAGGUACCAGAACACAGGCUAAUAAGCGCCUGUUUCGCCCGGGGAGAAUGUUGAACGCACGGAGCUACUCAACAUCGGUCAUCGAACGCGCCUAAUAAAAUGUACAUAAGCCCAUAUAAAACUUUCAUAAAAUGUCAAUCAAAAAAUGUCAAUAGAAACGUCAUUCGGAAUUGUCAUAUUCAUUCUCUCAAGAAAUAAAAGGUGUGUGAAUUUAAGAAAAUAAA